AUCCACCCAGAGAUGGAUGGAUGAACCGCAAGAAGUCAGCAGAGGCCAUAGUACUGGUGAAAGAAAAAAACAUCAGGAAGGGC
rnacentral:ncRNA from 1 species